GUAUUAAAUGCGUUUUAUCGCGGUUUUACAUUCGAAACGUAUAGAGUGUGUGAAAAUACGUAGAACCAGUCGAAGCGUGGCGAGACGCUUCUCCCGGAACUACAGAAGGUGCACAGGUGUGAGAUGGAUGAGCAAGGCGUGCACAUGCCUCGGAAGGCCAGCGACAACCUCUUUCAAACUCGAUAAUGAUCCUUCCGCAGGUUCACCUACGGAAA
rnacentral:misc_RNA from 1 species